ensembl:lncRNA
UGGCAGCACAGCUGUUUCAGGAUGAUCCAGAACUGACCAAGAGAGUUGGAGAAAGUGUCUCCAUCGACUGUGAUGGGACUAACCAGUGUACCAGUCUGAGUCGGGUAAAUUGGUACCAGAAGAAAGAAACAGGAACAUUCAAAGAUUUUCAAACUGCGUCUACACUCAACAUAAAGAACGUCGGACUUGAGCAUUCAGCCAUCUACUACUGCUACUGUUGGGUUUCUCAUGCCCACAGAUACACAUACAGCCACCUGAUCUUUGGCUCUGGAACUAAACUGUCUGUAACAGAUGGAAACCAGAAAAGAACGACACAGGCACCGAGAGUUCAUGCAAACACACAGCAGAGCCCCACCCGACCAGCAGGACCCAGAGUCCACGUGGAUGUGAACAGCUCCCUGCUGUGUGUGCCCCCAGCCAUGUUUCCUCCUCUGGUCCAGCUGUCAUGUAAAAGACAGAAGAAGAACGGAGGAGAACCGGAGGAGCUGGAGCUCAGAGAGUCAGGACGCAACGCCUCCAUCUUACUGAUCCAUCAGAACAGCACAUAUAAAUGUAACUGCUACGUGAAGCACAAGGGGGGCACAGUGGAGGCCCAAACACAACAAGAGGUUCCAGCUCCAGCAGCCUCCUGUCCUCCAGAGAGAGAGCCAGCAGACCUGCCAGCUCUGCAGCCAGCUGACUGUAAGAUCACCUGCUGCCUCUCUGCAUGGACAGCUCCAAUGUCCAAUGAGGGAGCUGGAACAAGUUUAGGGACUUAAAGUGUCACUAAUUGAUCAACUCUUCAUCUAACAAGCUCUGAUAAAGCCACUGUACACUAGCUGCUCAGCACCAAACAGCAGACAGACCAUAAUAUGUCAGAGAUCAGUUUGUUAGCUGCUUGUGGAGUUCUUCUGCCCC